rnacentral:tRNA from 1 species
GGGGCGUAGCUCAGCUGGUUAGAGCGCAUGCUUGACAUGCAUGAGGUCGUUGGUUCGACUCCAAUCGUCCCC